UGUGCGCAUGAAGAAACUCGACAGGGUAUUUCGAUCACUGUUAAUGGGUUUCGGGGCUGACGUGCUUAUGUCACUUGAUUUUAACGCAACAUGUGUUGAUGGAAGAAAAAUAGCCAGUACAUAAAGAUAUAAAGAGUAAGAUCUAAGAGGAAAUCCUUUGUUGAAAUAUCAGGGGUCAACUAAAGGAUGUCGCCUCGUUCAGAGUGUAACCAAAGAUCGACGACAAACGCAGUUUGAAGCGGAGUACACCAAAGGCAGUGGAUACAAGUCUUGAAUAUUGGCGUAAGACAUGAAAAACGUGAUUUUUUAAGGCUAAGUGACUACCAAAGCCAAUCAAACUCUCGAGUGAACAAUCUAUGACAUCCGGAGAAAAUUGCAACAGAAGAACAAUUAUAACUUGUAACCUUUUUCGUACCAAAGACCCGACCGACGUCACAAUCUCUAGUUCAGCAGUGAUUGAGAGGAAAAGAAACCAUCACCAAGUGAAAGCUUAUUCAGUGUCUCAACACAAGACAAAGAAACGGAGGAACGAAAAGUUAUUUUCCAAAGAACUGAGAAGUGAAUCUGACUUGACUGCAAAUAAUUUCCCGAAGGAGCUCAACAGUGAUCUAUGGAGAAACUGAUGCUGCUGUCAACUUUCGUAUUCAUCCUGGUCUCUGCAUCUGCUCAAUCAGAUGUUACAGUCAAGAGCUAUAAUGAAGAGACACCUUUCACCUUCAGUACAAAAUAUCCCUCCACAACUCUUCUCGCAUACUGGAUCUGUGAUCGAAAUGCCAACUUCAGUAUCGAAUUUGAGGGACUUUCGUUUCGGAAAUAUGGUCAUCUAUAUUCAAGCCUACCUUUAUAUCCACAAGGGUGGAGGGCUUGGCACUUCGUGAGCAUUAGAUUCAAAUGGAUCUCCAAUGGCCCAAAAUUACAAAUUUAUCCAGGCGACAUAAGCUACCCGGUAGAAUACAGUAAACAUCACAAUAUCAGAAUUCAAAUCAAGAGCAAAAUAAGGAUCUACUGGCAACAGUGCCUCGACUUCUUCAGCUGCGAUCUUUCCUGCCCGGAAUGCACUGCAACUGAAUGCAUUACGGAGUCAACACCUCAUGGCACUCAGGACUCAACUAUGGACUUGACAACACUACUUUUGAUAGGCACCUCUUGUUUGCUGGCUGUGAUCGUCGUGGGACUGGUUGCUUAUAUCAUUAGAUUGAAAAAGUCGACGUUUAAUGGUAAAUACCUUUUUCGCUGGAAGGGCAUUAAUUCUUAUUUAAAUUAGCCUAUAGAAUUUCAGUUAUUUUCGUUGACAAUUUUGGUAAAGGGAUUUGAAGAUAUUUUAAUACUCUACUAAAAACAAUGCUGAUAGAAAAGAAUAGAAUAUGUGAUUCUGGCACAAAGCCAAGCACUGGGACCCAUAGGGUCAUUCAGCACUAUAGUGAUAAUGAAUACAAAUGGAAGUAUAAAUAAUGAGUUUAAUGGGAAUGAUAUAAAUAAUGAGUUUAAAAUAGAUACUCUGAUGAUCAAUGUUUAAAACGGUAAAAUCGACACUAAAUUUCUAGUGGGAUUAAAAGUAAAAUGACCAUUUAUGGUAAAAAUAAAAUUAAAAUAAAAAUUAAUUAUAUCUAUAUAAAAUUACUAGACAUUCUUAUAAAAUCCACAAGCCUUUAAAAAACUCAUAACAGGGCCAACAUCCAUGUUGUCUCCUAAAAUUUCAGAUAUAGUUUUACCAUUCAGAUGGUACAUCCGCCUCUCAUUUACAUACCUGGUGCAGUGGGUAAGCAUGUACGACGCACUUAGCACAAUGUAUAUUGGCAGUACGCGUAUGAACACACGAUCUUUCAUAUAUUCUAUAAAUACGAGCGCACACUCAUAAAUAUGUCGCCUGCAAACAUUUCCUUCAACUUAUACAAUAACUCCAGCGACGUUUAAAAAACUUGAAUAAACUCCAAAGAAUCAAUCACAAGCAAAAUCAAAGACUCGUAUUAAAAAACUGCUGCUGACACGAUUACGAAGAACUUACAGCGAAACUUGAGCGAUAAAAACAAUUAUAAUUUUGAUUUUAUCUACAAAGUAGACAUGCUUAUGUCUACUGGGUCAGGGAGUUCACCUGCUUGACCUUUGUUCCGCUGAGAACCGAUGCGUCUUUUUUAUGUGCCAGAAAAUUUUUCCUUUAAUGCUACUGAAAAAAGCUGCUUUAAUCUCUGAGGAUGAAGGAAGGGCUACGGUAUUUCUAUUUCCAUCCCCUACACCGUUCCCAUACGUUAAGUCAUCUGCCUUCGUGCACGUAAUGGAGGAGUUGUGAACAAGACUUAACUAAAAUCAGAGGUCGUGUUCCUCUAAAUCCAAAAAGUCAUCUGCUUAAACUAAAUAGUCUGACGGGUAACAAUUUUAUGGUGAUGCUGCACUAUGCCAGGCAUUACCAGAUUUAUGAUUAUGUCUCGUAUUUUCGUGUACCACCAUUUUCAAGGGGCCUUUCAUCCAAAUGACUUCAAAAGGAUACUUAAAUAUGGUAGUAUUCGGUGAAGAUGUUGCCAGUAUAUUGUCACAAUUUUAAAUUCCAGCCAAAUCCGCUACGAACGUCCAAGUACUAGACUGGAAAUGACUCGAAUAUGUCAGUCAAUAGAAUUCUUAGCAAAUAUCGACAUAGCCUGUAUUAGGGACCACCAAGUAUUCCAUCUCUUCCAGUGCCUGCUACUCAUCCCCUUCGAACAGACGAGUUCCUCACAUAGAGCGUCAAUCACUGGAGUGGCGAUCUCCCUGUCUAGUGUGUGACCUCGAGCGGCCAUAUUGAAAGGUCUCGGUACAGCUCAUGGUACUAUACUUCAUUACUUUUGUUAAUUUUACAAUUAUCAUUUUAAUCUUUUUACUAUUUUUAUAACUAGUAAUGUUAUUUUUACCAUUAUUAUUAUUAUUAUUGUUGUUGGUAUUAUUAUUAUUAUUAAUGGACCCAAUUUCACAGAGAAAAAUUACCUUACAAAAACAGGUUGGCCCAUGCACUCCAACCAUUGUGGUCAAGGCUUAAGCAUCUGCUCUGGGACCUAAGCAGUGUCUAGCAUAAAUGGUCCCUGUAAAUCACAGGACUUUCUUAGCAUACAGUCACUUAGCACUAGCUGACCAGUAACACACAAUCACUAAACACUAACAAUUACAAUACACUCUCACUCACUAAACACUCACACUUACUAUACACUCACUAAACACUCACAUUUAACAUACACUCACAUUCUAUAACACUAAAAACUCACUGAAUACUCAAGAUUCACGAUACCUACACUAAAUGCUCACUAAACAUUCACUGAUUACUUACACCCUAAACAUUACAAAAAAAUCAUUAAAACCUUAAAGACUAACUAAACAUGCACUGAAUACAUACACAAUAAACAUUCAAUAACAUUCACAAAACCCUAAACACUCAGUAAACAUGUUCACUAAACAUUCAAUGAACAUUUACUCAUAAACAUACACCAAACACUUAUUCACUAAACCCUAAUAAUUCUCUAAACACUAACUCAUUAAACAUAAACAAUAAGGAAAAUUCACAAUCGCACUACUCUCCUGUUCAAUUUGCGGGUUACCAGACCUUUAAAAAUGGCUGCAAGGCUGUGCAGCACCGCCCUGGUGGAAGACCACCAAACUACGUAGUACUGGUUUAGAGACCACAUCUCCAAGUAUAUACCCUCUAUGGUUCCUCACUGGACGAGUGGGUUGCGUACUCGCCUACCAAUCUGGUAGCCUGUGCUCCCAGCUGCUGCCUGUGAAGAACCAAAGAAAUUUUUUUCUGGUGAUUAAAAAUUAAUUUCUCGAUAUAUAUAAUGUGGUUCGGAUCCCACAGUAGGUUGUAGGACCCGUUGCAAAGUAACUGAUUGGUUUCUAGCCACGUAAAAAUGAAAGUCUAAUCCU